rnacentral:lncRNA from 1 species
GAAAGCAAAAGGGAUGCCGGUGGUGGCAGAUGCUUCCUCCUGGCCAAAUCCCAAAUCCCACCCUCAGCACCCACACCCUGAGCAGUGGGCAGGAGAGGCCUGAAAACGUCUGUACAAAUGGCUUCCGAGAAGCCCUGGAGAUAAAGGAGCCAGAGGCAGCCACACAUGGUUCCCAGAAGCUGAAUGCUGCGCAGACGACAGGGUAAGUAUGCACUGCACCCUGCUUCACCCACACCUCAAGCCGUCCCCUUCUGCUGGGGUCUGGCUACUGCACUCGUGGUCCCCUUGGUAGCUUCACGAUUUAUGUCUCUAUGCGGCUUCCGUUCCCCUUCCCUCUGCCAAGCCAGUACCACCAUCCUUCACCGCCCAGUGCAGAGCUUCUUUCUCCAGUGAGUUUUCUCUGACCACUCCUGUCCUCACCAGCCAUCUUUGUUUUUAAUUCUCAUGCACCUCUUUGUGUAUGUCUUACACAGUUUGGGCAUUCAUUAUAUGCUAUUUUAAAUUGCAUGCUCUUGUUUCAUAUGUAAGUUCCAAUCUGCAUGGUAACAAGGACAAUACCCUAUGCUCUUGCAUGUUCCAUCAGACCUAGCGCAGGACUACAUCCAUAGUAUAGGUUUAAAGAGUAUUUGAUGGUUGAUUAUUGACAGUGAGAUUUCAUAUGCAUUUAUGCAUUUCUGUGAUACUUUUUAUCACAGAAACUAUGGUAUGUUAUAGAUAUGUAGAUAGAUGAGAAAGAGACAAAGAGAAUUUCCAUUUCCAUAGAUAGGAAUUUAGUGCAAAACUGAGUUGUUU